GACGAACGCUGGCGGCGUGCUUAACACAUGCAAGUCGAACGCUGAAGCUCAGCUUUUGUUGGGUGGAUGAGUGGCGAACGGGUGAGUAACACGUGAGUAACCUGCCCCCUUCUUUGGGAUAACGCCCGGAAACGGGUGCUAAUACUGGAUAUUCACUGGUCUUCGCAUGGGGGUUGGUGGAAAGGGUUUUUCUGGUGGGGGAUAGGCUCGCGGCCUAUCAGCUUGUUGGUGGGGUGAUGGCCUACCAAGGCUUUGACGGGUAGCCGGCCUGAGAGGGUGACCGGUCACAUUGGGACUGAGAUACGGCCCAGACUCCUACGGGAGGCAGCAGUGGGGAAUAUUGCACAAUGGGCGCAAGCCUGAUGCAGCGACGCCGCGUGAGGGAUGGAGGCCUUCGGGUUGUGAACCUCUUUCGCUCAUGGUCAAGCCGCAACAAUGGUUGUGGUGAGGGUAGUGGGUAAAGAAGCGCCGGCUAACUACGUG
rnacentral:rRNA from 1 species